rnacentral:rRNA from 1 species
UACGGGGGGAGCAAGCGUUGUUCGGAUUUACUGGGCGUAAAGCGCGUGUAGGCUGCUUCGCAAGUCGGAUGUGAAAGCCCUGGGCUCAACCCAGGAAGUGCAUUCGAGACUGCAUUGCUGGAGUACGGAAGAGGAGGGCGGAAUUCCCGGUGUAGCGGUGAAAUGCGUAGAUAUCGGGAGGAACAUCAGUGGCGAAGGCGGCCCUCUGGUCCAGUACUGACACUCAAGUGCGAAAGCGUGGGGAGCAAACAGG